AGUGAUUCAAAUUGACCCAUGUUAUUAAGGUUAAUCAGUUUGACUGAUUUAGGUACCCUUGAACCAGCCAAAUCUUUAGUCCUUUCCAAUGGCUUAGAGAAGUCAGUGAGAGGAUUGUUGAUUGCUGAUUAAUCUCUUCUCUUGAUUCUAAAAUAUAUAACUAAAUUCUCUAAAUUAUUAGAUCCUUAAAAUGAUAAUAUUAUGGGUGUUGGUGCAGAAUUCCGUCGA
rnacentral:lncRNA from 1 species